AUUGAACGCUGGCGGCAGGCUUAACACAUGCAAGUCGAGCGGAGCGAGGGUGCUUGCACCUUAGCUUAGCGGCGGACGGGUGAGUAACGCUUAGGAAUCUGCCUAUUAGUGGGGGACAACAUUCCGAAAGGAAUGCUAAUACCGCAUACGCCCUACGGGGGAAAGCAGGGGAUCUUCGGACCUUGCGCUAAUAGAUGAGCCUAAGUCGGAUUAGCUAGUUGGUGGGGUAAAGGCCUACCAAGGCGACGAUCUGUAGCGGGUCUGAGAGGAUGAUCCGCCAAACUGGGACUGGGACACGGCCCAGACUCCUACGGGAGGCAGCAGUGGGGAAUAUUGGACAAUGGGCGGAAGCCUGAUCCAGCCAUGCCGCGUGUGUGAAGAAGGCCUUUUGGUUGUAAAGCACUUUAAGCGAGGAGGAGGCUACUUAGAUUAAUACUCUGGGAUAGUGGACGUUACUCGCAGAAUAAGCACCGGCUAACUCUGUGCCAGCAGCCGCAGUAA
rnacentral:rRNA from 1 species